CCCUGAUUGCGGCUGCCUUUCCAUGCAUGUCGAACGGCAGCACGGGUGAUUGCACCUGGUGGCGAGUGGCGAACGGGUGAGUAAUACAUCGGAACGUGUCCUGUAGUGGGGGAUAGCCCGGCGAAAGCCGGAUUAAUACCGCAUACGAUCUACGGAUGAAAGCGGGGGAUCUUCGGACCUCGCGCUAUAGGGGCGGCCGAUGGCGGAUUAGCUAGUUGGUGAGGUAAAGGCUCACCAAGGCGACGAUCCGUAGCUGGUCUGAGAGGACGACCAGCCACACUGGGACUGAGACACGGCCCAGACUCCUACGGGAGGCAGCAGUGGGGAAUUUUGGACAAUGGGCGAAAGCCUGAUCCAGCAAUGCCGCGUGUGUGAAGAAGGCCUUCGGGUUGUAAAGCACUUUUGUCCGGAAAGAAAUCCCUGGUCCUAAUAUGGCCGGGGGAUGACGGUACCGGAAGAAUAAGCACCGGCUAACUACGUGCCAGCAGCCGCGGUAAUAUAUA
rnacentral:rRNA from 1 species